CUGGCAUAACACGGUCUGUCAUACAAUGCAUAAAGUUGUUUUUCCUGUGUGGUAAUACUGUUUGUUUGUUUAUUCUAGCAGUGUCUUAAUUAAAGUGCUUUUAACCGAGUUUUAUCUUCAUAAAUAAUAGUUUUGUUAAUUAUAGAUGUCUCGAUCUCCCAGAAUUUUAUUGUUGGACACUUCAGCAGGAACAUUUCCCGAUCACGUGAUUGGAGAAGCGGUUAUUGCUGACCACUUGCUUUAUGCUCUCAACAAACAAAAGAACGCCAGAUAUUUAAAGAUGUUUGCGCUAAAAGAACCGUGCGAAGAAUUUGAUAAAGUUAUAUGUUUACUAGGUCAACAAUGAGAUCUUAUAAGGGAUUCUCGACCAGAUUACCGACGUUGUUCGAUAUUGUUAAUACAAGCUUUCAGAA